rnacentral:rRNA from 1 species
GAUGAACGCUGGCGGCGUGCCUAAUACAUGCAAGUCGAGCGAACAGACGAGGAGCUUGCUCCUCUGACGUUAGCGGCGGACGGGUGAGUAACACGUGGAUAACCUACCUAUAAGACUGGGAUAACUUCGGGAAACCGGAGCUAAUACCGGAUAAUAUAUUGAACCGCAUGGUUCAAUAGUGGAAGACGGUUUUGCUGUCACUUAUAGAUGGAUCCGCGCCGCAUUAGCUAAUUGGUAAGGUAACGGCUUACCAAGGCAACGAUGCGUAGCCGACCUGAGAGGGUGAUCGGCCACACUGGAACUGAGACACGGUCCAGACUCCUACGGGAGGCAGCAGUAGGGAAUCUUCCGCAAUGGGCGAAAGCCUGACGGAGCAACGCCGCGUGAGUGAUGAAGGUCUUCGGAUCGUAAAACUCUGUUAUUAGGGAAGAACAAAUGUGUAAGUAACUAUGCACGUCUUGACGGUACCUAAUCAGAAAGCCACGGCUAACUACGUG